UACAUAUUGUAAGCCCUUUUUCCUUGUCCCAGAGGUUUGGGCCUGGCCCUUCGUAGGCCCAAGGGCAGCCCUUCUGAAGGACACCCUACCCUACCAGCCCCCUCACAUUCUCACUUACCUCUGUUUCAGAAAAACAGAUUGCCUUGGUCUCUCUUGCAGAAGCAGCUCUCUUCUUCCUCUCAAAUUCCUAGAAAAGUGCUCUGCUAGGGCACAACUCUCGUUCAGCUUCAAGCUAGCAAGUCCUUCUCACCUUCAACCCUCUGCUCUAGUCCUUGGAGCUGACGUACUUCCUAGUUGCGGGUCUUUUGCGUUUUAGCACCUAAACAAGAUGAGAGGGAGGUUCGAGAUGGAUCCGGGAGACGCAGCGGUGCGGCCUAGAUUUCCUUGCUUGGAUGUCUUAGGAGUAGUUCGUGGCCAUGAGGCCUUUUUGUAUUAGUUGCCUUGAGGGCAACCCUUUUGCAAGACUGUUAAACUUUUAGAAUUGUGUUUUCUUAUGGCAUGGUUGUAUGCCCAGGUUUUCCUCUAAGUACUCCUAUGGAUGACUGUAAUAGUUACUUUUCGUACGUUUCAUGUUAAUCUGAUUGGUUCUCGUUAUCAAAAUUUUGUGAUGCUUUAUUUGGUAGAGUAAUCUAUUAAAAUGUGACGUCACACAUAUACCAAGCAAAAACUUUGGCUGUAUGAUGAUAGUAUGAGGUUGAAGCCUAAGGGCAACAUGGUUAAAGCCUGGACAGCACUUUUAGAAAAGUGAGAGGAGCCAACUUUAAUAAUUUUUAAAUGACAGUU